rnacentral:rRNA from 1 species
GAUGAACGCUGGCGGCGUGCCUAAUACAUGCAAGUCGAGCGAACGGACGAGAAGCUUGCUUCUCUGAUGUUAGCGGCGGACGGGUGAGUAACACGUGGAUAACCUACCUAUAAGACUGGGAUAACUUCGGGAAACCGGAGCUAAUACCGGAUGAUAUUUUGAACCGCAUGGUUCAAAAGUGGAAGACGGUCUUGCUGUCACUUAUAGAUGGAUCCGCGCUGCCUUAGCUAGUUGGUAAGGUAACGGCUUACCAAGGCAACGAUGCAUAGCCGACCUGAGAGGGGGGUCGGCCACACUGGAACUGAGACACGGUCCAGACUCCUACGGGAGGCAGCAGUAGGGAAUCUUCCGCAAUGGGCGAAAGCCUGACGGAGCAACGCCGCGUGAGUGAUGAAGGUCUUCGGAUCGUAAAACUCUGUUAUUAGGGAAGAACAUAUGUGUAAGUAACUGUGCACAUCUUGACGGUACCUAAUCAGAAAGCCACGGCUAACUACGUG